rnacentral:lncRNA from 1 species
AUAACCUGGAAGCACCCUAGAUGCCCCUCAGCUGAAGAAUGGAUAGAGAAAAUGUGGUACAUUUACACAAUGAAGUACUACUCAGUGGGAAAAAAAAUAGAAUCUUGAAAUUCGCAGGCAAAUGGAUGGCACUAGAAGAAACCAUCCUGAAUGAGGUAACCCAGUCACAAAAAGACAAACAUGAGCCUUCAUCCAUUGGCUGAUAUAAGCAGAGGCAGACACCCACAGAUAAACACUGAACUGAACUCCUGGAAUCCAGUUGCAAAGAAGGAAGAGUGAAGAGCAAAGGGAUCAAGACUGAGCUGGUGAACCCACAGAAACAGCUGACCUGAACAAGGGGGAGUGCACGGACCCCAGACUAAUGGCUGGGAGAUGAUGAAUGCUGGCUAAUUUGACAUGUUCUUCAAAUUUUCAUGUGUCCCCUAAAUAAGUGAAAUGGUAGCUUCACAGAGCCACAGCAACAUGGUGUUCGAGUCAGAUGGUUGAGAUGUCUUAAAAUCCAAGCUGAAAUUUUCCUGUAGCUGGGGAGUAAGUUUUCCACAGUGAAUGGUGAACAUUCCUACCAGCAACAUAUAAAGUCUUCAAAAGAUGAUGGGACCCCACAAUGACAGUGACUCCUGAAUUGUGAUACUGCCACUAAGCUGACAAAUACCGGGCAAAGAUCAGCUUUGAACUACAAACUUCUCAGAAAAAUUUCAAGACAGUUAGUUAAAAUGGUCCAGCCAAUUAGACAACUCCAACCAGGACUUCAAAUAACCUUGCGUUGUUCUGUUACACCAAGAUUGGACAACAGCUGGAUUCCCUGGGAUUUGGCUGUUAUUUCUAUUCAUUCAAGGUCCCCUAAAGAUGACAGCACCUCAUGUCAACAGGAAACAGUCUAGAAAACAUGAUGCCCACAUUCCCAAGAGGUGGGGUGGAUGAUUUUUAGUCAUUCAGUAGAUUAUAGAUAUUUGUCAUUCGGGGGGCUGUUUGCAAGUUGUUACUGGUCAUGGUCAAGAAAAUAGUAUUCAAAGGAGGCUAGAUUUCAGCAAUCUCUUUCUGAAAAGAAAAAGGGGGACAUUGGAAUGAUAAGAAAAAAGGGUAGAUUAUUGAAUCUACUUAGAUCCCAAAAGCAACUAUUAAUCUCAAAAAAAUUUACAUUGUGUGGAUUUUUUAUAUUGAUGUAAGUUUAAAAUUAAUUUUUGUUAAACUGUA